rnacentral:antisense_RNA from 1 species
GAAGUUGUCGUCUUCGGCCGACAGCAGUGCGUUGAUGAAAUUGGGCGGGAUUUCGGCAAAGCGAAUGGGGGUGCGGCGCAUCUCGCCAAACUCGGCGAUCAGCUUGCCGUCGCUGCUGUAGACGCGCAGGGGAAUCUGCAACUGAAUGCUCUUCAGCGCUUCGACAGAGGGCAGGUUCGGGCUCAGAUAGAGAAAUGCACCGCUCAGCGCGAGCAGCAGGCCACAGAAUACUGCUACGAGAGACCACCAGAUAAACUUCAGCAGGCGUAUCAAGGCUUUUGGAUUUCCACAAAA